AUUGAACGCUGGCGGCAGGCCUAACACAUGCAAGUCGAGCGGAGCGGCGGACGGGGGAGUAAUGACUAGGAAUCUGCCUGGUAGUGGGGGAUAACGUCCGGGAACGGGCGCUAAUUACGCCUACUAUCAGAUGAGCCUAGGUCGGAUUAGCUAGUGGGUGGGGUAAAGGCCUGCCAAGGCGACGAUCCGUAACUGGUCUGAGAGGAUGAUCAGUCACACUGGAACUGAGACACGGUCCAGACUCCUACGGGAGGCAGCAGUGGGGAAUAUUGGACAAUGGGCGAAAGCCUGAUCCAGCCAUGCCGCGUGUGUGAAGAAGGUCUUCGGAUUGUAAAGCACUUUAAGUUGGGAGGCGUUACCAACAGAAUAAGCACCGGCUAACUUCGUGCCAGCAGCCGCGGUAAUUC
rnacentral:rRNA from 1 species